rnacentral:rRNA from 1 species
CCUACGGGGGGCUGCAGUGAGGAAUUUUGCGCAAUGGCCGCAAGGCUGACGCAGCAACGCCGCGUGGGUGAUGAAGGCCUUCGGGUCGUAAAGCCCUGUCAGGUGGGAAGAAAGGUUUCAAGGAGCAACACUUGGGAUUUGACGGUACCACCAGAGGAAGCACCGGCUAACUCCGUGCCAGCAGCCGCGGUAAUACGGAGGGUGCGAGCGUUGUUCGGAGUGACUGGGCGUAAGGCGCGUAUAGGCGGGGGAAAGCCCUGGGCUUAACCGGGGAAGGGCAUUGGAAACUGUUUGUCUUGAGUACGGGAGAGGAAGGGGGAAUUCCCGGUGUAGAGGUGAAAUUCGUAGAGAUCGGGAGGAAUACCAGUGGCGUAGGCGCCCUUCUGGACGGUAACUGACGCUGAGACGCGAAAGCGUGGGGAGCAAACAGGAUUAGAUACCCUUGUAGUC